CAGGGCAGUCAGUACAUAGUGUUCUGGGGUUAUGUAACUACGGAUUGCGAAAGAACAACCAGAGCUUUGAAAACAGAAGCGAGCUGACAGCACUUACAGCUUCCCCUUAACAUCAUAAUUUGCCCAUCAAAUUACAUUGUGGAGAGUUAAAAAGCAGUACCACAGAAGUGAAUGUUGCAGGCUCUAAGUCCGUGAUGACUUCCACGGUAUGUGUUAGAAUGUGUUGGAAUGAGCAGGAGUUGUACAGUAAGGGUUCUCUGGAGCAGUGGGAACAGCUGCAAGGAAGAAGGUCCUUAUUCCUCACACCCUCAGAAUAGGAGUGUAUGGCUUAUGGGCAGCCAAAGGCAUCUCUGAGUGAACUCAGGAGUAAGCGUGGGAGCCUGAGGAUAGUGCAAUUGCUGAACCGCUAUGAAGAAAAGAGCCUGGGGCUACUGGAGUGAAUGAUGAGGCGCGGUUACUAUGUUGUGGCAUUAAACUUUGUUCACUCGU